UACGAAAAAGCUCUGGAAAUUCAAAAACAAUCGUUAGGUCCAAAUCAUGUUGAUGUCGCUGAGUGUUUAUACAAUCUUGCUGAGGUGU